CCUCUAUCGCCAUCUUGGGCGAGCAGCCCGGGCGGGGGUGCCUAGAGAGUGCGGCCGCCACGGCCUCGCCACGGACUGCUGUCCCGCGCGCCGCGACCUUGCGCAGCGCUGGGGCCCUGCUCCGCUGAGUUUCUUUGAGACAGUUCCAAGACAGAAGCAACAUGUUGGGGACAGGUCGAUGCACAGAACUGCAGGCUGAAGACUGCAGUUUCUAUGGCUUUGACCAGGUGGACAGUGACGCUGAGAUCAUUCACCUUUGGAGCCCUAAGCCUCUAGUAAGAAUUCCAGCCACUUUGAAGCCACCAUGCUGGAGAGACUGUGUGGAGAGACUGCAUGGAGACAGAGAUGUUGGAGGAGCCCCAGAUGUUUGAGUCUUUCCGGCCCAGGAGCCAAACUGCUAAGGGAGGAAGACUUCAGAAGGACUCUGGCCACUGUCUUGGUCACAUUACAACCACACUGGAGACCCCGAGCCCAGUUAACGCCAAGAACUGUGAGAGAUAAUAAUAAUAGCAAAUGAUUGCUGCUAUUUCACACCCCUAAGUUUAGGGUGAUUUGUUGUAGAGCAAUAUAUAACCAGAACAACUGCUUUAGUUGGGUUCACUAUUAGAGCUGGAUUGGUUCACUAUCACAACCACUCACUGCCUUCCCCAUUCACUUUCUUUUAUGGAAGAUACAAAAAAUAGGUAUGUUUAUAUCUUCACCCUUCCUAUUCAGAACUAUUUCCCACUACUCCCCUGCUCAAAUCAUCUGAGCCAGUAGAAUGGGUCUUAUCUCACCUUGGGAUGCCUUUCUACCCCUUUCUCAUCAUCAAAUCCCUAACCAACUUGUAGAAUUAUGGGAUAACGGGGUAUUUUAAUUUUCUUCUUUGUGCUUUUCUAUUUUUUUCCAAAUUAUCUACAUUGAGCACAUAUUAUUUUUGUAAUCAGAAAUAGUAAAUGCAACUCAGAGAAGAAAAAAAAAUACAUACAAUCCCUUAAAAUUCAACUCAAGUCCCACCUCUUCAGGGUGACUGUCCAGUGGCCCCCUCCUGUUCCACUCAAUGGACACUAGAUUAUUUUGUGCUGUACAGUUAUUUCUUUAUGAAUAUAAUUCAUAUGUCUCAGUUUUGCAUCUCAAAUGAUACUGGAAGCUCCUUGAGGGCAGAAACUGAGCAUUAUGUGGGUAGUCACACUCGAAGUACAUCUAUAAACCAAUUGCCUGGAAUUCAGAAUGCCUUUGCCCCAAAGAAUCAAGAACUAUAAAUGAUGGCUAUGUUCUCAGACUAGUAGAUCAAAGCCUAUUUAACUUGCAAAUAUAUAAAAUAUUGUAUAUUGGCAAUGACCAUAUAUUGUAGGGAAAUGUUGAAAUGCUAGCAAUUAAACAAAACAGAAAAACCAAUGGAAAGCUUGAUGAGUUUGGGAUUGAAAUAGUAAUAAACAAACUUUAAAAAAAGACAGUUAUUAACUAGGUAAAUAAAAAAGUUCUGUGUGAAUGAAAAUGAAUUCAAAGUUUAUUACAUACCUCAUCUCUGAACACAUUUACAUAAUAACAUAAACAUAAUAAUGAAAACACUGAAUACUGGUCUAAAAUUACCAUAGAACUAUACUGAGAGGAUGAGGGGGAUGGGAAGCGUGCUGGUCGGGUGGAAAUGGGAGGGAAAACAGCUAAUUCCCAACCUUCCGUAACACUGGACGCCACUAGCUAACUCAUCAAAACUGAGAAAA